rnacentral:rRNA from 1 species
AGAGUUUGAUCCUGGCUCAGGACGAACGCUGGCGGCGUGCUUAACACAUGCAAGUCGAACGGUGACCUCGAGAGCUUGCUCUCGGGUGAUCAGUGGCGAACGGGUGAGUAACACGUGAGUAACCUGCCCCAGACUCUGGAAUAACCCCGGGAAACCGGAGCUAAUACCGGAUAUGAAACGGAGCCGCAUGGCUACCGUUUGGAAAGUUUUUCGGUCUGGGAUGGACUCGCGGCCUAUCAGCUUGUUGGUGAGGUAAUGGCUCACCAAGGCGACGACGGGUAGCCGGCCUGAGAGGGCGACCGGCCACACUGGGACUGAGACACGGCCCAGACUCCUACGGGAGGCAGCAGUGGGGAAUAUUGCACAAUGGGCGAAAGCCUGAUGCAGCGACGCCGCGUGAGGGAUGACGGCCUUCGGGUUGUAAACCUCUUUCAGCAGGGAAGAAGCGAAAGUGACGGUACCUGCAGAAGAAGCACCGGCUAACUACGUGCCAGCAGCCGCGGUAAUACGUAGGGUGCGAGCGUUGUCCGGAAUUAUUGGGCGUAAAGAGCUUGUAGGCGGUUUGUCGCGUCUGCUGUGAAAUUUCGGGGUUCAACCCCGAACUUGCAGUGGGUACGGGCAGACUAGAGUGUGGUAGGGGAGACUGGAAUUCCUGGUGUAGCGGUGAAAUGCGCAGAUAUCAGGAGGAACACCGAUGGCGAAGGCAGGUCUCUGGGCCACUACUGACGCUGAGAAGCGAAAGCAUGGGGAGCGAACAGGAUUAGAUACCCUGGUAGUCCAUGCCGUAAACGUUGGGAACUAGGUGUGGGUCUCAUUCCACGAGAUCCGUGCCGCAGCUAACGCAUUAAGUUCCCCGCCUGGGGAGUACGGCCGCAAGGCUAAAACUCAAAGGAAUUGACGGGGGCCCGCACAAGCGGCGGAGCAUGCGGAUUAAUUCGAUGCAACGCGAAGAACCUUACCAAGGCUUGACAUAUACCGGAAACACCUAGAGAUAGGUGCCCCGCAAGGUCGGUAUACAGGUGGUGCAUGGUUGUCGUCAGCUCGUGUCGUGAGAUGUUGGGUUAAGUCCCGCAACGAGCGCAACCCUCGUUCUAUGUUGCCAGCACGUCAUGGUGGGGACUCAUAGGAGACUGCCGGGGUCAACUCGGAGGAAGGUGGGAUGACGUCAAAUCAUCAUGCCCCUUAUGUCUUGGGCUUCACGCAUGCUACAAUGGCCGGUACAAAGGGCUGCGAAACCGCGAGGUGGAGCGAAUCCCAAAAAACCGGUCUCAGUUCGGAUUGGGGUCUGCAACUCGACCCCAUGAAGUCGGAGUCGCUAGUAAUCGCAGAUCGGCAACGCUGCGGUGAAUACGUUCCCGGGCCUUGUACACACCGCCCGUCAAGUCACGAAAGUCGGUAACACCCGAAGCCGGUGGCCCAACUCUUUGAGGGGGAGCCGUCGAAGGUGGGACUGGCGAUUGGGACUAAGUCGGAACAAGGUA